UCAGUCGGUUAGUGUAGAAUCCCGUAUUAACGGAACUGAGCUUUCGUCAUCUAUGUGGAGGGGCGUGUGCUCUUAAAUAAGUUCUCCAGCCCUCAUGUGCUCUGCCUUUGAACCAUAUUCCUUUGGGCUUUAUCCUUGCCAGUAUCUGGAGGCAGGAUGGAACAGCAGAGACAGGGGAAGUUCUUGGCACGCCAUCCUCUGCAGUCGACUGAAGCCAUGUCACCGCCUUACUGUUGCUGUGCAGCCGUCUCCACUGUGGGUUCCCUCGCAAGGGCUGCUCCUAUUCAGUACGUCUGUCGAGUGAAUCGUGACUAAGCGCAAGCAUCAGCCUUCCAAGAAACUGCUUCUGUCAGCGCUGGGCUGGCAUCGAUUUAGAUGGGCAGGCAGUCUUUUCCCUGGUCAGUCAGUGCCAGUCAUGAAACAUCUGGAAGAUUACCUCAGAGCUCAUCUGGCCCCUCCCCACUCUGUCCCCACAGCAGAGAUGCAGGAUAGUCUGUGAACUGUAUCUGUAGGUCUAGGUCACGUUCUUGGCCUGGUCUUCUGAUGCCUUGAGACAAAUACCAAGUGUGUAUGUGCGGCCCACUUUUAUAACUAAGAUAGUUUUAUAAGCAACAGAACACACUCUAAAAUAAUG